UAGUACUAGAGCCGAUUUACGCAAUCGAAUACCGCCGGAAGUAGAACAUUUAUGUCAACACCGGUUUCGUAUUUUCACGUGAAAACGGCCGAAAACUGAGAGGUUAUCAACAAAUUAUAAGUUUACGGGUACCAUGAGGAUUUUUCAUGCAUUUAAACGAAAGAAGUACAAGCGAACAGAUGACAAAUUAAAGUGGCUGCAGAAGCUUGAAAAGUUAGAUAGAGCAGGGGCAGUCAAAACAGUGGGAUAAUACUUCUAUGGUGUCCAACAUGUCUAGUCAGGUUGACAGAAGUGAAAGAUGGUCUGAUGGUACAAUGAUGUACAAAUGAUACUCUUUAACAAGUUGAACAUGUCAAGGUUUAAAAUGUUCUGUGGAUUCAUAUGAUGAGAAUGCCAGUGUUGAUCUGUAUGACUUAAUUAAACACAGAUAUUGAUACCUUCAGAUAUAUACCUGUGAAAUCUUCAGUGUCACCGUUCAGCUAUUGUUCAAGAUCAGUGUCUGCAGCUUGCACAGUUUAGUAUAGAGGAGCCUUCUGAAUCAACUUUGUUACAUAUUUGCUGUUAUUGUAGGACACGCAUGUAGAGAGCAGCAAGUCCUGUCCAGCCGUGCAUAUAAAUGUGAUUCAGAAACUUUGAGAAUAUGUAAACAUUACACUGUUAUAAUUUUCAAAAUACUGUGUCUUGUAGUGUAUCAGUACUGUUUUGUCUCAGUUUAUAGCACAGUAUGUUCACAAAUCAAACAUAAGACCAUAGUGAUCAGUAUUAUUAAAAUCAUUAAUUAUUUGUAUGGUGACAAAAUUUAAUUUCAUGCAAUACCACAGUAAAACGUUUGAUAAUUUUCGCUUUUAAAGUCGUACGUUUAAGGUUGGCAUAAAUUGUUUUUUUUUUCUUUCAUAAAUCUAAAAAGUGAUUGGUCAUUAUAACUGCAAUAUUAUUUUAGUAUGACAAAGUUUAUAUUGAACUAAAACACUAAUGUAAAUUUUUGAACUAAUCAAUGCAUUUUCUUCAGUCUUAAAACAUUUGUUUAUCGUACGUGUCAUGGCCCAUAACUCCUCCAUAUUACUUGUGUUUUGUCCUUUUUCAUUUCACUGAAGAAUAGGUAGAGGUAUUGCACAUCCAUUUUUUAGCAUCCUGAUUUUGUAAAGUGUUGUAUGUAAGGUUUUAUCUCGGAAUUAUGUCUCAUCUAAAGGUGGGGAGAGGUAUUAAUUAUGCCUUCUCGUCUAUCCGCAUUAAGCCUGUCUGGCUUUAAGAGGACAAGCUGCUGGCCAGAUUUUGAUGAAACUUCACAGGACUGAUCAGUACGAAGCAUAGUGUUGUGCAUAUCGCUUGCAUGUUUCGUUUUGAUGCACUAAAUUGCAGCCAUAGCUAAAAAUAGAAAAAUCUUGUCGGCUUUCACAGGUUAAAACUACUUAACAGAUUUUGAUGAAACUUCACAGGAGUGAUCAGUACCAAGUAUAUUUUUGCAUAUCACCAACACUUUCCAUUUUGCUGCACAAAAUAGCCGCCAAAGCUAAAGGUAUACAUAGGUGGGAGACAUGUUUUGUCAUAAAAAUACCUAAAGCACCUUCCACUUUGUUAAUGAAAAAUGUAACAAACGUCUUACAAUUGCAAACUGUAAUAAUUUGACAUUAAAUGCACUAGUUCCAUAACUGCAUUUGGCUUUUUUCAUAAUUAUUGCCCUUUUCUUACCAUAGCAAUAUUUUGUGUAACAUGUUACCUCAUUAAGCAUCAUAAGAUCAGAAAGUUCUAUGACUCAGACAUGUUGGCCCUUUUGUACUUGUCAUGAGUAUGUUUUCAGUAUUUUAAAUUGUCAUUACUUUUUGUUGUGCCAGUUUACGGAAAUGAAGACUUAGUUGUCCAAAUGGUGUGCCUGUGCCUGUCCUGAUUUGUUUGUCUGGACAAUAUAUUAUUGAUUAGUCUUCACGAAACUUUGCAGGUUAAUUUCCUUAC